GCUAACUAUACUACAGAGAGAGAGAGAGGUGCUACCGCUAACUAUACUACAGAGAGGGGAGCUACCGCUAACUAUACUACAGAGAGAGAGAGAGGUGCUACCGCUAACUAUACUACAGAGAGAGAGAGAGGGAUGCUACCGCUAACUAUA